rnacentral:misc_RNA from 1 species
AAGGAUACGCACACACACACACACAUACACACAAAAGGAAAAGAGACUGCAGCCGGAGAAGCUGACGCCGCCGCCGCCGUUUUGAAUUUUCAGUUUUCUUCUUUUGGAGAGUGGUGGUAGUGGUGGUGGGGGACUCGUCUUCUGUUUUGGUUACUGCUUCCAUGUCGUCUCUCAUCAGGUGGGAGAGUGCAUUGCCUCACUCCCGUCAUCCCUUCUUUCCUUCUGUUGCCUGCUAGAGGAUCAUCAAAAUCACUGGCGCUGCGGCCCGAUGUCGCGGUCCAUCACCAAGGGCCAGCAGCGCGCCACUGACGUGGUCAGUGGCCCUCGAAACGGAUUGACCGGUGGUGGUGCGACCGGUAGCUCAACAUCGAAGGCAUCAGCCGCCUUCACCAAGGAGCAGUUCUACACAGCCGAGGAGCUGCUACCGUACAUCAGCGAGGAGGAGAAGGCGAACCUAAAGCAGGAGGUACUCAAUAGCAUCAACACUGAGCUGCUGCUCAACACAGAUCUUGAGGUGACGGUGCCGCGCUUGCUGAGGUCGUGCCAGAACGAGUCGCGUGAGCUCAGACGCGCUAUGAACUCUAUCGCCUCUUCUCAAAUCGUGGAGGCACAGCGCGCGCUGCAGAUCGUGAAGAGCAACUACGGUAAGGUCCAGGAGUUGCGAGAACUCUUUCUCAAGCAGGGUGACCUUAUUCAAGGCCUUGGUGCUGACACGCUCAGCUACAAGCAUUUGCGGCAGCUGCACUGCCUGCGUGACAACGUCAGCUCCGUGAUCAAGUGGUCGGAGGCGCUCAAGGAAGUGCGUUACGGGAAUCUGUACAUGCUGGUGGAGCAGCAGUCGUUUCGAUUUAUGUACGAUCGCCUGCGAAAUUUGCAGCUGAUCCGCCGCACAGUCAUCACAAAGGCUGGCGCGCGCUACCGGAGCUUCCAGGCGGUGUUUGAGCCGUACUUUGAAAAGCUGGACGUCAUUCUGUCCAUGUUUGUGAAUCAGGUGUACAAGUUCCUGCGUGAGGACGCGAUGGUGAUUGCGAUUCAGAGGGCACUUGAGGAUGGCCCGUCUGACGAUGCCUCGCACUGUGGCACGGGCUUCGCUGGCGUCGGCGAGAACAAGGGCCACGAAGAAGCACCAGAGCCGUUUGAGUGCCUGCGCCAGUGCAUCGCCAUCUGCGGUGACGAGAUUGAGAGCCCCGUCUUGAAUUUCGGUAGCGACGGCGUAGAGACGGAGUCGCAGAUCAACGAGGAAGCCGUCUACUCCGCCGUGGCGAAGGGCAUUGCGCAACUGUGGGAGGAGCAGAUCAUGCAGGAUGUGGUGGACUCAUUUGGUCAGAUAUCUGUCUAUCUGGAGCAGAUGAAGAAGGUGGAGCCGCUGCUCGGUGCUUUCGAGCUCACGUUGUUCCCGCUCUCCACUAAGCUCCCGUUAUUCAGCCUCGUCGUGAAAGCCGUUCAUGCGGAGGUGAUGAAUGUGAUGCGAAGCUACUCUGACCCGGGCGCCGAGCUCGAGGCCAACGGCCUCAUCGAGGCGUCGCUUUUCAUUCAGUGGUAUGAGGAGAUGAUGGUGACAAACAGCUACGCCCAGCACGUCGACUUCUCCGCGAUCGAUGAACUGUCGGCGUCCUUCAUGACCGCGGCGGUUGGCGGUUUGUCGGCGCACUUGACGCGGCUCUGCCGCGCGUGUGCCAUAACGGUGUGCAACGAUCUGAAGGGCCCCACCAUCCUUUCCUCUGGCCUUCCUAUCACGACCGGGCCGGUGGACGUGUUCAGCGUCUUGCAGCAGUCUCUGGCUGGGAUGAACACCGCUAUUGAUGUGACUGUCAUGCGACAAAUCGGCAAGGCGUGCGCCGACGCGAUCUACUCCUACCUCGACGAGUGCAAGCAGCGCAGCGACUUCGACUACUGGGAGGACGAGAACAACUCGCUCCCGAACCCGCAGCCCGCCGAGGAGUGGCAGCAGCGACGCAUGCUUUUCCUGUACGCCUUUUGCAACGACUGCACUACCAUCGAAAGCAAUCUCGACACGAUCGAGCUCAAGUUCGCGCCAUGCUGGGACUACGACAGCCCCGGCGCCGGCGAUGACCAGGGCGACGACACGUCUGCGGAGGCCGGCGGCGUUGGGGGCGACAUAUUCUCUACGCCUUUCCGAAAGCUGCAGGAUGUGCUGCUGGAAGACGCGUUCUACUACCUGGAUGAAAUUGCUGCGCAGGUGGAGCGGAUUGUGGAGGAUGAGUGGGAGAAGGUAUUUCGAACAGAGGAGUGGUACACCGAUGCAACGAACCCGGUGCAGCUCAUCGUCAACACAGAGGCGGAAUACAUUGAAGAAGAGUUUGCGACGAUGCUGCAGGACCAGCGCUCUCGAAAGCUCACGCGGCAGAUGCUUAUUCGCAACAUCGUAAAGUACAUAAACACUCUCGUCGAGUUCCUAGCCGACGUGAUUCGAAACCCAAAGAAGAACACCGUGGACAGUUGGCUCACCUUCGUGGACUGCGUGCAGCGCGAUAUUGACAUCUCCCUUAGCAUGUGGCGUGAGCAUCUAUCGGACCGGCAAGGCCGGCUGCUGGACCUCGCGCAGCGUGCGUUAGAGGUGCUGAAGCAGCUGCUCUCCGUAAAAAAACCGGUCGACUUUGGCUACCUCCUGCAGGACAAGCUCCUUGAUGACUUUGGUGACUGCCCGACCUUUGUCAUCCGCUUCUGCUUUGAGGCACGCAGUCAGGAAGUCGACCGCGAGACCCGUGAGCGGCUCAUGGCCGUCUGGGCAGAGCGGACCGCCUACCAGAAGCGCGACAGCAAGGAUAAACCCACCGUGGGCUGGAGUCCGCCACCGUCGUUCCUCGGCAGUGUUGACCGCUCCCUCGCGGAGCUCGAGAAGCCAUCUGGUUUCUUCGGCCGCAGCAUCAAAAAGAAGCGUGCCGCGGAGAGGCAGCAGAAGGUGAUGGAAGAGAAAAACGCGAAGCGAGCUGCCCGCAAGGCUCGCCGGGACGCCGAUGCUGCUGCGACGAAGAUACUUACGCCGACGGCAAGUCCCAAAGCCAACGCCGGCGCCGUGGAGGUAGCCUCUCUGGCUGAUAUUUUGAAGUGAGUGAAAUGCAGUCGGCGGCACAGGCAGUGGCGGCUGGAGGAGGACGGCAAGCGCAUCCGCAGCGCUCCUUUAGCAGCUCGCCAACCGCGCUACUGCAGCUGACCGCUGUGCGUCGCUCCUUGUCCGCUCGUUGCAUCGUCAAAGUAUGGAUGUUUGCAUGUGUGCACAUGCGCGCGCAUGUUGGUGUCAUGCUGUCUGCUUCCCCCGCCUCACCUCCCGCGCUCUUCUCAUGUGCUUUCGUGCUGAUCUUCGCUGUCCCUGGUAUAGAUCGUCUACCCCCUACGCUGCGGCUGCUGCGUUGCCGCUCUCUCGAUGCUGUCGCCCACCGCCUCGCAUUUUGUCUUGCGCCCUUUCGCCUUUGUCUCUUGCACACGCAGACGUGUGCUCCGUGUACCUGUACCGCUG